AUUGAACGCUGGCGGCGUGCUUAACACAUGCAAGUCGAUCGGUAACAGGUGUAGCAAUACAUGCUGACGAGAGGCGGACGGGUGAGUAAUGCUUGGGAAUCUGCCUAUUAGUGGGGGACAACCCGGGGAAACUCGGGCUAAUACCGCAUACGCUCUACGGAGGAAAGCCGGGGACCGCAAGGCCUGGCGCUAAUAGAUGAGCCCAAGUCGGAUUAGCUAGUUGGUAGGGUAACGGCCUACCAAGGCGACAAUCCGUAGCUGGUCUGAGAGGACGACCAGCCACACCGGAACUGAGACACGGUCCGGACUCCUACGGGAGGCAGCAGUGGGGAAUAUUGGACAAUGGGGGCAACCCUGAUCCAGCGACGCCGCGUGGGUGAAGAAGGCCUGCGGGUUGUAAAGCCCUUUCGGUGGGGAAGAAAAGUCUCGACCUAAUACGUCGGGACCUUGACGUAACCCACUAAAGAAGCACCGGCUAACUCUGUGCCAGCAGCCGCGGU
rnacentral:rRNA from 1 species